CACCUGUUACAUUUCACAAAUAAAGCAGCUGUGAUGCUCUUAGAUUAUAAUUUUAGUUUGGGUUCAGGGGUCUGUUUACAAGGCUUAUCUCUGGACCAUACCCAUAGGUCAUGCUUGUACUUGUGUUCCACAGUGAUCUGUGAGAGCAUAAUGGACACAGUGGGAAUACAGGUUCCCAAUGGUCACCUAGUGAUGCUCCAACUGCAAAAGGCAAUUUGCCCAUGACAGUGAACCUAAGCCAAAGCAAAUCCCUACAAACCUCAAGUUCUCAGGACUGACUGCUUCAUUUCACUGACUUGCUUCUACUGAGCUGCACUAGGUGUUUUGCUCCCUCUCUCCUCCAGUUCCUCACUGCUCAGCCUCAUCAGCUCCUCUGCCCCUUGUCUCUGGAGACACAUGGGGGAGAAAGCAAGAUGGAAGAGUCCAGAUGAGACAGGAUGGUGAAGCAGCCAGAGGGAGGAAGUAAAGCUGCUGAGAUAUCUCCUUCUUGAAGGAAGUACCUCAGAGAGAUAGGCCUUCAAAGACCUUCAAGCUUAAAUGUCAGGUUUCAUCUGUAUAAAUAUUACAAUGAAGACAGCUCCUCUGUUAACCUCCACCCCCAAUCAAAAUGAGACAGAAUAAGAGCAGAAGAACAUUAGCACA